rnacentral:rRNA from 1 species
UACGUAGGUGGCAAGCGUUGUCCGGAUUUAUUGGGUUUAAAGGGUGCGUAGGCGGCCUUGUAAGUCAGUGGUGAAAUAUGGCAGCUCAACUGUCAAGGUGCCAUUGAUACUGCGGAGCUUGAGUACAGAUGAGGUAGGCGGAAUUGACGGUGUAGCGGUGAAAUGCUUAGAUAUCGUCAAGAACACCUAUAGCGAAGGCAGCUUACUAGGCUGUAACUGACGCUGAGGCACGAAAGUGUGGGGAUCAAACAGG